rnacentral:rRNA from 1 species
UACGUAGGGUGCAAGCGUUGUCCGGAAUUAUUGGGCGUAAAGAGCUCGUAGGCGGUUUGUCGCGUCUGCUGUGAAAACGCGAGGCUCAACCUCGCGCCUGCAGUGGGUACGGGCAGACUAGAGUGCGGUAGGGGGAGAUUGGAAUUCCUGGUGUAGCGGUGGAAUGCGCAGAUAUCAGGAGGAACACCGAUGGCGAAGGCAGAUCUCUGGGCCGUAACUGACGCUGAGGAGCGAAAGCGUGGGGAGCAAACAGG